rnacentral:misc_RNA from 1 species
UGGGGAUGUAGAGACUAAGAAGGCUACUGUAUCUCCUGCAGCAGAAGAUUAUGGUCAAGAGGCAAUUGAAGCUAUCAGGGCUGGGAAAGUCAUAGCUGUUCCCACUGACACACUAUAUGGCUUUGCUUGUGAUGCUUGUUCUGCUGAGGCAGUGAAUCGUAUUUAUGAGAUCAAAGGACGUAAGCAUACAAGUCCUCUGGCUAUUUGUGUUGGCGAUGUUCAUGACAUAAAACAUUAUGCUGUGACAGAUCAUCUGCCUCUUGGCUUGCUUGACUGCCUGCUUCCUGGACCCGUGACUUUGGUCUUAAGGCGAGGUGAGUCAAGUAUCCUUGAGAAGUCAUUAAACCCUGGAUUAGAGAGCAUAGGGGUUCGAGUGCCAGACUGUAACUUCAUCAGGGUGAUUGCUCGUGGUUCUAGAAGUGCCCUUGCACUUACUAGUGCAAAUCUCAGCGGACAACCCAGUAGCAUAGACAUCAAAGAUUUUGAGAACCUCUGGGAGCACUGUGCAUAUGUCUAUGAUGGCGGAAUUCUUCCAGCUGGGCGAGCUGGAUCGACAGUGGUGGAUCUUACUAAGCUGGGGAAGUACAAGAUUCUAA